rnacentral:rRNA from 1 species
AUUGAACGCUGGCGGCAGGCUUAACACAUGCAAGUCGAGCGGUAGCACAAGAGAGCUUGCUCUUAGGGUGACGAGCGGCGGACGGGUGAGUAAUGUCUGGGAAACUGCCUGAUGGAGGGGGAUAACUACUGGAAACGGUAGCUAAUACCGCAUAACGUCGCAAGACCAAAGUGGGGGACCUUCUGGCCUCUUGCCAUCAGAUGUGCCCAGAUGGGAGUAGCUAGUAGGUGGGGUAAUGGCUCACCUAGGCGACCAUCCCUAGCUGGUCUGAGAGGAUGACCAGCCACACUGGAACUGAGACACGGUCCAGACUCCUACGGGAGGCAGCAGUGGGGAAUAUUGCACAAUGGGCGCAAUCCUGAUGCAGCCAUGCCGCGUGUGUGAAGAAGGCCUUCGGGUUGUAAAGCACUUUCAGCGAGGAGGAAGGUGGUGAACUUAAUACGUUCAUCAAUUGACGUUACUCGCAGAAGAAGCACCGGCUAACUCCGUG